rnacentral:tRNA from 1 species
GGUCAUGGCUCAGUGGUAGAGCAUUUGCCUAGCAUGCAUGAGGCCCUGGGUUCAAUCCCUAGUUCG